GCCGGGCGCUUCGGCUGCGACCUGGAGGGGCUGCGGGGCAGCAUCGGCGCCUUCGGCACAGGUGGGUCCGGAAUUCCGGGAAAAACACGGGAAAACACGGGAAAAACACGGGAAAUACCCUGGGAAAAACACGGGAAAACCAUGGGAAAUACCCUGGGAAAAACACGGGAAAAUUCCAAGGAAAAACCUGGGAAAUACCCUGGGAAAAACCUGGGAAAUACCCUGGGAAAAACCCUCGGGAAUCUGCCCAGGCUUCAGGCAAGGUGGGUCCGGAAUUCCCAGUGCUCCCAGUCCCAUUCCCAGUGCUCCAGUGCCAUUCCCAGUGCUCCCAGUCCAUUCCCAGUGCUCCCAGUGCCAUUCCCAGUGCUCCCAGUCCAUUCCCAGUGCUCCCAGUGCUCCCAGUCCAUUCCCAGUGCCAUUCCCAGUGCUCCCAGUCCAUUCCCAGUCUCAUUCCCAGUGCUCCCAGUGCCAUUCCCAGUGCUCCCAGUGCCAUUCCCAGUGCUCCCAGUCCAUUCCCAGUCCAUUCCCAGUGCUCCCAGUCCAUUCCCAGUGCUCCCAGUGCUCCCAGUCCAUUCCCAGUCUCAUUCCCAGUGCUCCCAGUGCCAUUCCCAGUGCUCCCAGUCCAUUCCCAGUCCAUUCCCAGUGCUCACAGUGCUCCCAGUGCCAUUCCCAGUGCCAUUCCCAGUGCUCCAGUGCCAUUCCCAGUGCUCCCAGUCCAUUCCCAGUGCUCCCAGUGCUCCCAGUCCCAUUCCCAGUGUUCCCAGUGCCAUUCCCAGUGCUCCCAGUCCCAUUCCCAGUGCUCCCAGUGCCAUUCCCA
rnacentral:lncRNA from 1 species